GACGAACGCUGGCGGCGUGCUUAACACAUGCAAGUCGAACGGAAAGGCCCUGCUUUCGUGGGGUGCUCGAGUGGCGAACGGGUGUGUAACACGUGAGUAACCUGCCCUUGACUUUGGGAUAACUUCAGGAAACUGGGGAUAAUACCGGAUAGGAGCUCCUGCUGCAUGGUGGUGGUUGGAAAGUUCGGGCGGUGGGGGAUGGACUCGCGGCUUACCAGCUUGUUGGUGGGGUAGUGGCCUACCAAGGCUUUGACGGGUAGCCGGCCUGAGAGGGUGGACGGCGACAUGGGGACUGAGAUACGGCCCAGACUGCUACGGGAGGCAGAAGUGGGGAAUAUGGCACAAUGGGCGGAAGCGUGAGGCAGAGACGCCGCGUGGGGGAUGCCGGCCUUCGGGUUGUAAACGGCUUUAGCCGGUGACGAAGCGUUUGUGACGGUACCUAGAUAAGAAGCACCGGCUAACUACGUG
rnacentral:rRNA from 1 species